UGGGUGAUCUGCCCUGCACUUUGGGAUAAGCCUGGGAAACUGGGUCUAAUACCGGAUACGACUCCUCAUCGCAUGGUGGGGGGUGGAAAGCUUUAUUGUGGUUUUGGAUGGACUCGCGGCCUAUCAGCUUGUUGGUGAGGUAAUGGCCUACCAAGGCGACGACGGGUAGCCGGCCUGAGAGGGUGACCGGCCACACUGGGACUGAGACACGGCCCAGACUCCUACGGGAGGCA
rnacentral:rRNA from 1 species